ensembl:misc_RNA Metazoa_SRP Metazoan signal recognition particle RNA
GCUGGGUGUGGUGGCGCAUGCCUGUAGUCCCAGCUACUCUGGAGGCUGAGGCAGGAGAAUCACUUGAACCCGGGAAGUGGAGGUUGCAGUGUGCUAGAAUUGUGUCACUGCACUCCAGCCUGGGUGACAGAGCAAGAUCCUGUCUUAA